UACGGAGGGUGCAAGCGUUAUCCGGAUUCACUGGGUUUAAAGGGUGCGUAGGUGGGUCUGUAAGUCAGUGGUGAAAUCUUCGAGCUUAACUCGGAAACUGCCAUUGAUACUAUAGAUCUUGAAUUUUCUGGAGGUAAGCGGAAUAUGUCAUGUAGCGGUGAAAUGCUUAGAUAUGACAUAGAACACCAAUUGCGAAAGGCAGCUUACUACGGGGAACAAUUUGACACUUGAGGCACGAAAAGCGUGGGGGAUCAAAACAGG
rnacentral:rRNA from 1 species